CCUUGACAUACUAAGAACUUUCCAGGGAUGGAUUGGUGCCUUCGUGAACUUAGAUACAGGUGCUGCAUGGCUGUCGUCAGCUCGUGUCGUGAGAUGUUGGGUUAAGUCCCGNAACGAGCGCAACCCUUUUCCUUAUUUGCCAGCGGGUCAUGCCGGGAACUUUAAGGAUACUGCCAGUGACAAACUGGAGGAAGGCGGGGACGACGUCAAGUCAUCAUGGCCCUUACGGCCAGGGCUACACACGUGCUACAAUGGUCGGUACAAAGGGUUGCUACCUCGCGAGAGGAUGCUAAUCUCAAAAAGCCGAUCGUAGUCCGGAUCGCAGUCUGCAACUCGACUGCGUGAAGUCGGAAUCGCUAGUAAUCGCGGAUCAGAAUGCCGCGGUGAAUACGUUCCCGGGCCUUGUACACACCGCCCGUCACACCAUGGGAGUUUGUUGCACCAGAAGUAGGUAGUCUAACCGCAAGGAGGACGCUUACCACGGUGUGGCCGAUGACUGGGGUGAAGUCGUAACAAGGUAGGCGUAGAUGA
rnacentral:rRNA from 1 species